rnacentral:misc_RNA from 1 species
GGAAUGAGAUGCUACUGAAAAAAGGACUUCGGUCUCCUUCUUUCCUUAAGACUGGUACUACCAUUGUUGGCUUAAUUUUUCAGGAUGGCGUCAUUCUUGGAGCAGACACACGAGCCACUGAAGGACCGAUUGUUGCUGAUAAGAACUGUGAGAAGAUUCAUUACAUGGCCCAUAACAUAUAUUGCUGUGGAGCAGGAACAGCUGCUGAUACUGAGGCAGUAACUGACAUGGUCAGUUCCCAACUGAAGCUUCACAGGUAUCACACUGGU